AGCAGCGUGGCUCAGUGGAAAGAGCCCGGGCUUGGGAGUCGGUGGUCAUGGGUUCGAAUCCCGGCUCCGCCG
rnacentral:tRNA from 1 species